rnacentral:rRNA from 1 species
CUACGGGUCGCAGCAGUGAGGAAUAUUGCACAAUGGGGGGAACCCUGAUGCAGCAACGCCGCGUGGAGGAUGACGCAUUUCGGUGUGUAAACUCCUUUUAUAUGUCAAGAAAAUGACGGUAGCAUAUGAAUAAGCACCGGCUAACUCCGUGCCAGCAGCCGCGGUAAUACGGAGGGUGCAAGCGUUACUCGGAAUCACUGGGCGUAAAGGACGCGUAGGCGGGUUGGAAAGUCAGGUGUGAAAUCCUACAGCUUAACUGUAGAACUGCACUUGAAACUUCUAAUCUAGAGUAUGGGAGGGGGAGAUGGAAUUAGUGGUGUAGGGGUAAUAUCCGUAGAUAUCACUAGGAAUACCUAAAGCGAAGGCGAUCUCCUGGAACAUUACUGACGCUAAGACGUGAAAGCGUGGGGAGCAAACAGGAUUAGAUACCCCAGUAGUC